rnacentral:rRNA from 1 species
UACGGAGGGAGCUAGCGUUGUUCGGAAUUACUGGGCGUAAAGCGCGCGUAGGCGGCUUUUGUAAGUUAGAGGUGAAAGCCCGGGGGCUCAACCCCCGGAACUGCCUUUAAGACUGCAUCGCUUGAAUCCAGGAGAGGUGAGUGGAAUUCCGAGUGUAGAGGUGAAAUUCGUAGAUAUUCGGAAGAACACCAGUGGCGAAGGCGGCUCACUGGACUGGUAUUGACGCUGAUGUGCGAAAAGCGUGGGGGAGCAAACAGG